AACGAACGCUGGCGGCAUGCCUAACACAUGCAAGUCGAACGCGUGUAGCAAUACACGAGUGGCGGACGGGUGAGUAACGCGUGGGAACCUGCCCAAUGGAAGGGAAUAACUGCGGGAAACUGCAGCUAAUACCCUAUGCUCCCUACGGGGGAAAGAUUUAUCGCCAUUGGAGGGGCCCGCGUCGGAUUAGCUAGUUGGCGGGGUAACGGCCCACCAAGGCUACGAUCCGUAGCUGGUCNGAGAGGAUGAUCAGCCACACUGGGACUGAGAUACGGCCCAGACUCCUACGGGAGGCAGCAGUGGGGAAUAUUGGACAAUGGGGGAAACCCUGAUCCAGCAAUGCCGCGUGAGUGAAGAAGGCCUUAGGGUUGUAAAGCUCUUUCGGCGGGACGAUGGUGACGGUACCCGCAGAAGAAGCCCCGGCUAACUUCGUGACAGCAGCCGCAGUAAC
rnacentral:rRNA from 1 species